GCGCUGCAUGUCUGUAAAGUAUCUGCAGAUUUUCCUUAAGUUUAUUUUAUGGUUAAAACAGCCUUUACAGAAUUUUAUCCAUGUAUUUUUCCCCACUCCUGGGCAUAGUUCAUCUGAUGGUACAAAAUAAAAAAACAAACAAACAAACAAACAAAAAAACCGGUAAUUUACCAAAUAUCCUAUAGCUAGAUUCAUUCCCCUCUUUUUUGUAUUUUGUAGUAUUUCCAGCCGUUCAGCUUCAGAACUGCUCUCAAGCUCCCAAGAAAACUGGGAUUUACAACAUUUUGAAUCACGGAUCAGGGCCUUUCCCUGUCUACUGCGACCAGACAACGGACGGUGGAGGUUGGAUGAUGAUAUUCAAAGUUAUUGGUGGAAUAAAUUCUUCAUUUUCUGCUGGGGAGUUCUGGAAUUCAUCCGACACAUUUUCAGAAAAUGUUACCGCUGCCCUAGAUACCACUUCAUCCUACCGAGGAAACUACAAAAACCUUAUUGUACAAAGUUGGCAAAUGUUCAGUCCUAAAGAGGCUCGUGUAGCACUUUACACAAAUGGAACCGAAGUCGUGUCUAUCAUAUUCAGUGCAAAAGGGA